CGUGGGGAGCGAACAGGAUUAGAUACCCUGGUAGUCCACGCCGUAAACGUUGGGCGCUAGAUGUGGGGACCAUUCCACGGUUUCCGUGUCGCAGCUAACGCAWUAAGCGCCCCSCCUGGGGAGUACGGCCGCMAGGCUAAAACUCAAAGGAAUWGACGGGGGCCCRCACAAAMGGCGGAGCAUGCGGAUUAAUUCGAUGCAACGCGAAGAACCUUACCAAGGCUUGACAUACACGAGAACGGGCCAGAAAUGGUCAACUCUUUGGACACUCGUGAACAGGUGGUGCAUGGUUGUCGUCAGCUCGUGUCGUGAGAUGUUGGGUUAAGUCCCGCAACGAGCGCAACCCUCGUUCUAUGUUGCCAGCGCGUAAUGGCGGGAACUCAUAGGAGACUGCCGGGGUCAACUCGGAGGAAGGUGGGGAUGACGUCAAAUCAUCAUGCCCCUUAUGUCUUGGGCUUCACGCAUGCUACAAUGGCCGGUACAAAGGGCUGCAAUACCGUAAGGUGGAGCGAAUCCCAAAAAGCCGGUCUCAGUUCGGAUUGAGGUCUGCAACUCGACCUCAUGAAGUCGGAGUCGCUAGUAAUCGCAGAUCAGCAACGCUGCGGUGAAUACGUUCCCGGGCCUUGUACACACCG
rnacentral:rRNA from 1 species